rnacentral:rRNA from 1 species
GUUUGGCCUGCCCACUGAGAUAUUUUAAAGGGCCGCGGUAAUUUGACCGUGCGAAGGUAGCAUAAUCAGUAGUCUUUUAAUUGGAGGCUGGAAUGAAUGGUCGGACAAAGAGUUAGCUGUCUUUAUAUAAUACUUUAAUUUUACUUUUAAGUGAAAAGGCUUAAAUGUUUGGGGGGGACGAUAAGACCCUAUAAAACUUUACAGGUGAUGUUUAUAUUUUUUAAAUUACUAGUUUAAUAUGAAUUAAUAAUUAGUCUGUUAUGUUGGGGCGACAAUGAUAUAAUUAAAUAACUGUCAAUUUAAUAAAAUAAUUAUAAUUAGUUUAUUUGAUCCUUUAUUAGAGAUUAUAAGAUUAAGUUACUUUAGGGAUAACAGCGUAAUUUUCUCUGAGAGUCCGUAUUGACGAGAAUAGUUGCGACCUCGAUGUUGAAUUAAGAUUUCUCUUAGGUGAAGCCGUUUAAGUAGUGGGUCUGUUCGACCUU